rnacentral:lncRNA from 1 species
AAACACUACUGAAGACUGAAGACUGAAGACUGAAGAGUGAAGACUGAAGAGUGAAUACUGAUUCACUGAAUCACUGAUGAUUAGUAAGAUUUCUUAAUUUUUUAUAAUUGUACAUUUUUAUUGUAUUCUGGAGGUCAGACCAAGGUCCAAACCUCCCUUCAUGUACCAUUUUGAUUUAAAUUAAUAAACUGGUAGGGGUCUAUGCCAAACCCCCCACCAUUAAGGUGGCUUUAUAUUCAUAAAUCCUUAGUGUUCAAUAUUUAUUAAUUUAUUAAAAAAAUUUAUGAAGCAUUAAUUUUUAUCGGGCCGAGCCGGGCCCAGGCCCGGACCGUGCCAGGCCCGCGUGCCAGCCCGGCCCAGGCCCUUAUGGGCCGUGCCGUGCUGG